rnacentral:rRNA from 1 species
CCUACGGGGUGCAGCAGUGAGGAAUAUUGGUCAAUGGGCGGGAGCCUGAACCAGCCAAGUCGCGUGAGGGAAGACGGUCCUAUGGAUUGUAAACCUCUUUAGGCGGGGAGCAAUGCCGGGCACGUGUGCCCGGAGGGAGAGUACCCGCAGAAUAAGCAUCGGCUAACUCCGUGCCAGCAGCCGCGGUAAUACGGAGGAUGCGAGCGUUAUCCGGAUUUAUUGGGUUUAAAGGGUGCGUAGGCGGAUUUUUAAGUCAGCGGUAAAAUGUCCGGGCUCAACCCGGGCCGGCCGUUGAAACUGGGGAGCUUGAGUGGGCGAGAAGUAUGCGGAAUGCGUGGUGUAGCGGUGAAAUGCAUAGAUAGCACGCAGAACUCCGAUUGCGAAGGCAGCAUACCGGCGCCCGACUGACGCUGAGGCACGAAAGCGUGGGGAUCGAACAGGAUUAGAUACCCCAGUAGUC